GACGAACCGAGCGAACGUUGUUCGGAAUCACUGGGCUUAAAGGGCGCGUAGGCGGGUGCUCAAGUCCGUGGUGAAAUCCUCCGGCUCAACCGGAGAACUGCCUCGGAUACUGGGCGUCUCGAGUGUGGUAGGGGUAUGCGGAACUAUCGGUGGAGCGGUGAAAUGCGUUGAUAUCGAUAGGAACUCCGGUGGCGAAGGCGGCAUACUGGACCACCACUGACGCUGAUGCGCGAAAGCUAGGGGAGCAAACAGG
rnacentral:rRNA from 1 species